AGAGUUUGAUCCUGGCUCAGAACGAACGCUGGCGGCAUGCCUAACACAUGCAAGUCGAACGAGAUCUUCGGAUCUAGUGGCGCACGGGUGCGUAACGCGUGGGAAUCUGCCCUUGGGUACGGAAUAACUCUCAGAAAUGAGUGCUAAUACCGUAUAAUGACUUCGGUCCAAAGAUUUAUCGCCCAAGGAUGAGCCCGCGUAGGAUUAGCUAGUUGGUGAGGUAAAAGCUCACCAAGGCGACGAUCCUUAGCUGGUCUGAGAGGAUGAUCAGCCACACUGGGACUGAGACACGGCCCAGACUCCUACGGGAGGCAGCAGUGGGGAAUAUUGGACAAUGGGCGAAAGCCUGAUCCAGCAAUGCCGCGUGAGUGAUGAAGGCCUUAGGGUUGUAAAGCUCUUUUACCCGGGAUGAUAAUGACAGUACCGGGAGAAUAAGCUC
rnacentral:rRNA from 1 species